GCCCCCGUAGCUCAACGGUUAGAGCGCCUCGAUAUCCUCCAUUUCAGCUACUAGAGUUUAACGAGGAGACGUGGGUUCGAAUCCCACUGGGGGCG